rnacentral:rRNA from 1 species
UACGAAGGGGCUAGCGUUGCUCGGAAUCACUGGGCGUAAAGGGUGCGUAGGCGGGUCUUUAAGUCAGGGGUGAAAUCCUGGAGUUCAACUCCAGAACUGCCUUUGAUACUGAAGAUCUUGAGUUCGGGAGAGGUGAGUGGAACUGCGAGUGUAGAGGUGAAAUUCGUAGAUAUUCGCAAGAACACCAGUGGCGAAGGCGGCUCACUGGCCCGGUACUGACGCUGAGGUGCGAAAGCGUGGGGAGCAAACAGGG